GACAGAGGCCUCAAGCGUUAGGCGGAAUCACUGGGCUUAAAGCGUGUGUAGGCGGAUCGUUAAGUGUCUUGUGAAAUCCCAUGGCUCAACCAUGGAACUGCUUGGUAUACUGCGGAUCUUGAGCCACCUAGGGGCAAGUGGAACAAACGGUGGAGCGGUGAAAUGCGUAGAUAUCGUUUGGAACGCCAAUGGUGAAAACAACUUGCUGGGGGUGUGCUGACGCUGAGACACGAAAGCCAGGGGAGCAAACGGG
rnacentral:rRNA from 1 species